CACGUAGGGUGCGAGCGUUGUCCGGAAUUAUUGGGCGUAAAGAGCUCGUAGGCGGUGUGUCGCGUCGGCCGUGAAAACCUGCAGCUUAACUGUGGGCUUGCGGUCGAUACGGGCAUCACUGGAGUUCGGCAGGGGAGACUGGAAUUCCUGGUGUAGCGGUGAAAUGCGCAGAUAUCAGGAGGAACACCGAUGGCGAAGGCAGGUCUCUGGGCCGCAACUGACGCUGAGGAGCGAAAGCAUGGGGAGCGAACAGG
rnacentral:rRNA from 1 species